AACUUUUUUCGGUUGGGGAUGGGCUCGCGGCCUAUCAGCUUGUUGGUGGGGUAACGGCCUACCAAGGCGAUUAAGGGUAGCCGGCCUGAGAGGGCGACCGGCCACACUGGGACUGAGACACGGCCCAGACUCCUGCGGGAGGCAGCAGUGGGGAAUAUUGCGCAAUGGGCGAAAGCCCGACGNAGGGACGCCGCGUGGGGGAUGACGGCCUUCGGGUUGUAAACCUCUUUUACCACUCACGCAGGCCCCACGUUUUCGUGGGGUUGACGGUAGGUGGGGAAUAAGGACCGGCUAACUACGUGCCAGCAGCCGCGGUAAUAGGUAGGGUCCCAGCGUUGUCCGGGAUGAUGGGGCGUAAAGAGCUCGUAGGA
rnacentral:rRNA from 1 species